CCUACGGGAGGCAGCAGUGAGGAAUAUUGGUCAAUGGGCGAGAGCCUGAACCAGCCAAGUCGCGUGAGGGAUGAAGGAUCUAUGGUUUGUAAACUUCUUUUAUAUGGGAAUAAAGUGCGGAACGUGUCCCUUUUUGUAUUUACCAUAUGAAUAAGCAUCGGCUAACUCCGUGCCAGCAGCCGCGGUAAUACGGAGGAUGCGAGCGUGAUCCGGAUUUAUUGGGUUUAAAGGGUGCGUAGGCGGUUAUUUAAGUCAGCGGUGAAAGUUUGUGGCUUAACCAUAGAAGUGCCGUUGAAACUGGUUGACUUGAGUAUAUUGGAGGUAGGCGGAAUGCGUGGUGGAGCGGUGAAAUGCAUAGAUAUCACGCAGAACACC
rnacentral:rRNA from 1 species